GUGCCAGCCGCCGCGGUAAUACCGGCAGCGCAAGUGAUGGCCGAUUUUAUUGGGCCUAAAGCGUCCGUAGCUGGCCAGGCAAGUCCAUCGGGAAAUCCACCCGCUCAACGGGCGGCCGUCCGGCGGAACCUGUGUGGCUUGGGACCGGGAGGCCUGAGGGGUACGAUCGGGGUAGGAGUGAAAUCCUGUAAUCCCGCUCGGACCGCCGAUGGGGAAACCACCUCAGGAGAACGGAUCCGACAGUGAGGGACGAAAGCCAGGGUCUCGAACCGGAUUAGAAACCCGUGUAGUCC
rnacentral:rRNA from 1 species